rnacentral:rRNA from 1 species
UACGUAGGGUCCAAGCGUUAUCCGGAAUCACUGGGCGUAAAGCGUGCGUAGGUGGUUUGUUAAGUGUGGUGUUAAAUCGUGGGGCUCAACCCUAUCGAUGCAUCGCAUACUGGCAGACUAGAGGACAGCAGAGGCAAGUGGAAUUUGUAGUGUAGCAGUGAAAUGCGUAGAUAUUACAAGGAACACCAAUGGCGAAGGCAGCUUGCUGGGCUACUCCUGACACUGAGGUACGAAAGCGUGGGGAGCGAAACAGG